ACUAAGCGUACACGGUGGAUGCCCUGGCAGUCAGAGGCGAUGAAGGACGUGCUAAUCUGCGAUAAGCGCCGGUAAGGUGAUAUGAACCGUUAUAACCGGCGAUUUCCGAAUGGGGAAACCCAGUGUGAUUCGUCACACUAUCAUUAACUGAAUCCAUAGGUUAAUGAGGCGAACCGGGGGAACUGAAACAUCUAAGUACCCCGAGGAAAAGAAAUCAACCGAGAUUCCCCCAGUAGCGGCGAGCGAACGGGGAGGAGCCCAGAGCCUGAAUCAGCAUGUGUGUUAGUGGAAGCGUCUGGAAAGGUGCGCGAUACAGGGUGACAGCCCCGUACACAAAAGCGCAUGUGCUGUGAGCUCGAUGAGUAGGGCGGGACACGUGGUAUCCUGUCUGAAUAUGGGGGGACCAUCCUCCAAGGCUAAAUACUCCUGACUGACCGAUAGUGAACCAGUACCGUGAGGGAAAGGCGAAAAGAACCCCGGCGAGGGGAGUGAAAAAGAACCUGAAACCGUGUACGUACAAGCAGUGGGAGCACAGGUUUACCUGUGUGACUGCGUACCUUUUGUAUAAUGGGUCAGCGACUUAUAUUCUGUAGCAAGGUUAACCGAAUAGGGGAGCCGGAGGGAAACCGAGUCUUAAUUGGGCGUUAAGUUGCAGGGUAUAGACCCGAAACCCGGUGAUCUAGCCAUGGGCAGGUUGAAGGUUGGGUAACACUAACUGGAGGACCGAACCGACUAAUGUUGAAAAAUUAGCGGAUGACCUGUGGCUGGGGGUGAAAGGCCAAUCAAACCGGGAGAUAGCUGGUUCUCCCCGAAAGCUAUUUAGGUAGCGCCUCGUGAAUUCAUCUCCGGGGGUAGAGCACUGUUUCGGCUAGGGGGCCAUCCCGGCUUACCAACCCGAUGCAAACUGCGAAUACCGGAGAAUGUUAUCACGGGAGACACACGGCGGGUGCUAACGUCCGUCGUGAAGAGGGAAACAACCCAGACCGCCAGCUAAGGUCCCAAAGUCAUGGUUAAGUGGGAAACGAUGUGGGAAGGCCCAGACAGCCAGGAUGUUGGCUUAGAAGCAGCCAUCAUUUAAAGAAAGCGUAAUAGCUCACUGGUCGAGUCGGCCUGCGCGGAAGAUGUAACGGGGCUAAACCAUGCACCGAAGCUGCGGCAGCGAACGUAUCACCCAAGACAACUUUACGGAGUUGACGAUUGACGGAGCGAAGCGACGUCAAAGCGUUCAUUAAAGUCGAGUUGGCUUAGGGAUACGUUCGUUGGGUAGGGGAGCGUUCUGUAAGCCUGUGAAGGUGUGUCGUGAGGCAUGCUGGAGGUAUCAGAAGUGCGAAUGCUGACAUAAGUAACGAUAAAGCGGGUGAAAAGCCCGCUCGCCGGAAGACCAAGGGUUCCUGUCCAACGUUAAUCGGGGCAGGGUGAGUCGACCCCUAAGGCGAGGCCGAAAGGCGUAGUCGAUGGGAAACGGGUUAAUAUUCCCGUACUUGGUGUUACUGCGAAGGGGGGACGGAGAAGGCUAUGUUGGCCGGGCGACGGUUGUCCCGGUUUAAGCGUGUAGGUGUGUGUUCCAGGUAAAUCCGGUUCACUUUAACACUGAGGCGUGACGACGAGGCACUACGGUGCUGAAGCAACAAAUGCCCUGCUUCCAGGAAAAGCCUCUAAGCAUCAGGUAACACGAAAUCGUACCCCAAACCGACACAGGUGGUCAGGUAGAGAAUACCAAGGCGCUUGAGAGAACUCGGGUGAAGGAACUAGGCAAAAUGGUGCCGUAACUUCGGGAGAAGGCACGCUGACACGUAGGUGAAGUGAUUUACUCAUGGAGCUGAAGUCAGUCGAAGAUACCAGCUGGCUGCAACUGUUUAUUAAAAACACAGCACUGUGCAAACACGAAAGUGGACGUAUACGGUGUGACGCCUGCCCGGUGCCGGAAGGUUAAUUGAUGGGGUCAGCGCAAGCGAAGCUCCUGAUCGAAGCCCCGGUAAACGGCGGCCGUAACUAUAACGGUCCUAAGGUAGCGAAAUUCCUUGUCGGGUAAGUUCCGACCUGCACGAAUGGCGUAAUGAUGGCCAGGCUGUCUCCACCCGAGACUCAGUGAAAUUGAACUCGCUGUGAAGAUGCAGUGUACCCGCGGCAAGACGGAAAGACCCCGUGAACCUUUACUAUAGCUUGACACUGAACAUUGAGCCUUGAUGUGUAGGAUAGGUGGGAGGCUUUGAAGUGUGGACGCCAGUCUGCAUGGAGCCGACCUUGAAAUACCACCCUUUAAUGUUUGAUGUUCUAACGUGGACCCGUAAUCCGGGUUGCGGACAGUGUCUGGUGGGUAGUUUGACUGGGGCGGUCUCCUCCUAAAGAGUAACGGAGGAGCACGAAGGUUGGCUAAUCCUGGUCGGACAUCAGGAGGUUAGUGCAAUGGCAUAAGCCAGCUUGACUGCGAGCGUGACGGCGCGAGCAGGUGCGAAAGCAGGUCAUAGUGAUCCGGUGGUUCUGAAUGGAAGGGCCAUCGCUCAACGGAUAAAAGGUACUCCGGGGAUAACAGGCUGAUACCGCCCAAGAGUUCAUAUCGACGGCGGUGUUUGGCACCUCGAUGUCGGCUCAUCACAUCCUGGGGCUGAAGUAGGUCCCAAGGGUAUGGCUGUUCGCCAUUUAAAGUGGUACGCGAGCUGGGUUUAGAACGUCGUGAGACAGUUCGGUCCCUAUCUGCCGUGGGCGCUGGAGAACUGAGGGGGGCUGCUCCUAGUACGAGAGGACCGGAGUGGACGCAUCACUGGUGUUCGGGUUGUCAUGCCAAUGGCACUGCCCGGUAGCUAAAUGCGGAAGAGAUAAGUGCUGAAAGCAUCUAAGCACGAAACUUGCCCCGAGAUGAGUUCUCCCUGAGACUUAGAGUCUCCUGAAGGAACGUUGAAGACGACGACGUUGAUAGGCCGGGUGUGUAAGCGCAGCGAUGCGUUGAGCUAACCGGUACUAAUGAACCGUGAGGCUUAACC
rnacentral:rRNA from 1 species